rnacentral:rRNA from 1 species
GCGGCAGGCCUAACACAUGCAAGUCGAACGGUAACAGGGAUUGCUUGCAAUCCGCUGACGAGUGGCGCACGGGUGCGUAACACGUAUACAAUCUGCCUUUAACUGAGGAAUAGCCCAGAGAAAUUUGGAUUAAUACCUCAUAACAUGAUGAAGUGGCAUCACUUUAUUAUUAAAACUUCGGUGGUUAAAGAUGAGUAUGCGUCCUAUUAGCUUGUUGGUAAGGUAACGGCUUACCAAGGCUACGAUAGGUAGGGGGCCUGAAAGGGUGAUCCCCCACACUGGUACUGAGACACGGACCAGACUCCUACGGGAGGCAGCAGUGAGGAAUAUUGCGCAAUGGAGGAAACUCUGACGCAGCCAUGCCGCGUGCAGGAAGACGGCCCUACGGGUUGUAAACUGCUUUUAUAUAGGAAGAAACCCCGAUACGUGUAUCGGCUUGACGGUACUAUAUGAAUAAGCACCGG